GAUUAAAAUUGUGACUGGUCUUGCUGAAAGCGAUUUAGGCCUCAAGUUGGGGCCACUAAUCUACGCACUGGCCUUUCGGAGCCUGCCUCGGAGGCAAUGGAACCCUCAUUGGAGCCUCAGCCAACGUUGUCUGCGCCGGAGUAGCGGAGCAGCAUGGCUACAAGUUCAGCUUCUUCGAGUUUUUUAGGAUUGGUUUCCCGCUAAUGGUGCUCACAACGGCCUUGUCAACCACGUGGCUCCUUGCCUGCCACGUCGCCAUGGACUGGGAUAUCUGAAAGCCCCACUAACCAAUAUUGCCUAGGAAAAAAAAAUGCGUGCACAUGUCUGCUCGCUGAGCGAGCUGUUAGGUUUUACGUGGUGUUGUACUUUUAUCUGUGGAAUUGGUUCCGGUGUUAACUUUUAGCUAGAGAAGUGUAGUUCUCGCAUUGAAUGCACAUAUUUACUUUUUAGCUGUUGCGUUAUAUUUUCUUAUGCUUUUUUUUCAAAAAACGAUCAUUUUUGUUAUUUUUUGCAGGUUUGUAUCCGCUUUUUGCGUAGCAUUUUCAAGCUGGUAUUUCAAAGCUGUUUCUCUUUUUAUGCACCAAAAUAUAUAAUGGCGAGUGUUCGUAAAAUUCUUCCUCUAAGGUGGUUAGAAUGUUGCAAGCAAGCAACACCCAGUGUUUCCAGAGUGAUUGCUUCAGCGAGUCAUGUGUAUGGAUUGUUCGUCGCUGUACCUUCGCACUACAAAACGUUUUGCAGACGUUGUUCAAUAAAGUUUUAGAGUGCAGA